CACUGCCGAGAAAAGCCUCUAGAUAGAAAAUAGGUGCCCGUACCGCAAACCGACACAGGUAGUCAAGAUGAGAAUUCUAAGGUGAGCGAGCGAACUCUCGUUAAGGAACUCGGCAAAAUGACCCCGUAACUUCGGGAGAAGGGGUGCUCUUUAGGGUUAACGCCCAGAAGAGCCGCAGUGAAUAGGCCCAAGCGACUGUUUAUCAAAAACACAGGUCUCUGCUAAACCGUAAGGUGAUGUAUAGGGGCUGACGCCUGCCCGGUGCUGGAAGGUUAAGAGGAGUGGUUAGCUUCUGCGAAGCUACGAAUCGAAGCCCCAGUAAACGGCGGCCGUAACUAUAACGGUCCUAAGGUAGCGAAAUUCCUUGUCGGGUAAGUUCCGACCCGCACGAAAGGCGUAACGAUUUGGGCACUGUCUCAACGAGAGACUCGGUGAAAUCAUAGUACCUGUGAAGAUGCAGGUUACCCGCGACAGGACGGAAAGAC
rnacentral:rRNA from 1 species